GAUGAACGCUGGCGGCGUGCCUAAUACAUGCAAGUCGAGCGAACAGAUAAGGAGCUUGCUCCUUUGAAGUUAGCGGCGGACGGGUGAGUAACACGUGGGUAACCUACCUAUAAGACUGGGAUAACUUCGGGAAACCGGAGCUAAUACCGGAUAACAUUUAGAACCGCAUGGUUCUAAAGUGAAAGAUGGUUUUGCUAUCACUUAUAGAUGGACCCGCGCCGUAUUGGCUAGUUGGUAAGGUAACGGCUUACCAAGGCGACGAUACGUAGCCGACCUGAGAGGGUGAACGGGCACACCGGAACUGAGACACGGUACAGACUCCUACGGGAGGCAGCGGUAGGGAAUCUUCCGCAAUGGGGGGAAGCCUGACGGAGCAACGCCGCGUGGGUGAUGAAGGGUUUCGGCUCGUAAAACUCUGUUAUUAGGGAAGAACAAAUGUGUAAGUAACUGUGCACAUCUUGACGGUACCUAAUCAGAAAGCCACGGCUAACUACGUG
rnacentral:rRNA from 1 species